rnacentral:rRNA from 1 species
AGAGUUUGAUCCUGGCUCAGAUUGAACGCUGGCGGCAUGCCUUACACAUGCAAGUCGAACGGCAGCACGGGGCAACCUGGUGGCGAGUGGCGAACGGGUGAGUAAUGCAUCGGAACGUGCCAUUGAGUGGGGGAUAACGUAGCGAAAGUUGCGCUAAUACCGCAUAUUCUGUGAGCAGGAAAGCAGGGGACCGCAAGGCCUUGCGCUCUUUGAGCGGCCGAUGUCAGAUUAGCUAGUUGGUGAGGUAACGGCUUACCAAGGCGACGAUCUGUAGCGGGUCUGGGAGGAUGAUCCGCCACACUGGAACUGAGACACGGUCCAGACUCCUACGGGAGGCAGCAGUGGGGAAUUUUGGACAAUGGGGGCAACCCUGAUCCAGCCAUGCCGCGUGAGUGAAGAAGGCCUUCGGGUUGUAAAGCUCUUUCGGCCGGGAAGAAAUCGCAUGGGCCAAUACCCUGUGUGGAUGACGGUACCGGAAUAAGAAGCACCGGCUAACUACGUGCCAGCAGCCGCGGUAAUACGUAGGGUGCGAGCGUUAAUCGGAAUUACUGGGCGUAAAGCGUGCGCAGGCGGUUUUGUAAGACAGGCGUGAAAUCCCCGGGCUCAACCUGGGAACUGCGUUUGUGACUGCAAGGCUAGAGUACGGCAGAGGGGGGUGGAAUUCCACGUGUAGCAGUGAAAUGCGUAGAGAUGUGGAGGAACACCAAUGGCGAAGGCAGCCCCCUGGGUCGAUACUGACGCUCAUGCACGAAAGCGUGGGUAGCAAACAGGAUUAGAUACCCUGGUAGUCCACGCCCUAAACUAUGUCAACUAGGUGUUGGGUGGGUAAAACCAUUUAGUACCGUAGCUAACGCGUGAAGUUGACCGCCUGGGGAGUACGGCCGCAAGGUUAAAACUCAAAGGAAUUGACGG